CGAUUCCGGCUACGGAUGGUCAUGCGUCGCAUUAGCUAGUUGGCGGGGUAACGGCCCACCAAGGCGACGAUGCGUAGGGGUUCUGAGAGGAAGGUCCCCCACACUGGUACUGAGACACGGACCAGACUCCUACGGGAGGCAGCAGUGAGGAAUAUUGGUCAAUGGCCGCAGGGCUGAACCAGCCAAGUCGCGUGAGGGAUGACGGUCCUAUGGAUUGUAAACCUCUUUUGUCAGGGAGCAAAGGGCGCCACGUGUGGCGCUUUGCGAGUACCUGAAGAAAAAGCAUCGGCUAACUCCGUGCCAGCAGCCGCGGUAAUACGGAGGAUGCGAGCGUUAUCCGGAUUUAUUGGGUUUAAAGGGUGCGCAGGCGGAAUGUCAAGUCAGCGGUAAAAUUUCGGGGCUCAACCCCGUCGUGCCGUUGAAACUGGCGUUCUUGAGUGAGCGAGAAGUAUGCGGAAUGCGUGGUGUAGCGGUGAAAUGCAUAGAUAUCACGCAGAACUCCGAUUGCGAAGGCAGCAUACCGGCGCUCAACUGACGCUCAUGCACGAAAGCGUGGGUAUCGAACAGGAUUAGAUACCCUGGUAGUCCACGCAGUAAACGAUGAAUACUAACUGUCCGGGCAGAAUGAUGCCUGG
rnacentral:rRNA from 1 species